ACUUCAGAGAAACAACAGAAGAACCCAAGGAGACUGUAUCAGAUUCUUCUAAAAGAGAAGCAGGAAAUUGACUCUGGCCCUGCACGAAGUAUAGAAAUGGAAGAGAAAUAUGCUUCCCUGUAUUAUAGUAUCACCUGGAGGAAAAUUCACAAUCCACUAUUGACUAUAUCAUGUAGAGUUCGGGAAAGAAGAAAUGAAGUCACUGCGCCUUUAAGUUGUAAGACAGAAAGAAAGAAGCCACAAGGCAGCAUCUCCUACAGAUCUCCUACAGAAACAUGCUGUUGCAAAGUAAUGGGAAGAGAUACCCUGGAGGAAACAUUUUCCAUGGCCUAAAUUGAGAAAAUUACAUGUGUUGUGGUUUUAAUUUUUUCCCAAGAUGUAAAUCCCUAAAGAAAUAAAGAAAUAAAUAGCCCCA
ensembl:lncRNA